CUCAAACAGCAUAAGACGGAGCCGGGAAUUCAGGUUCAAAUCCUCACUCGGGCCGGUGUGGCGGCGCAGUCUUGUAACCCCAGCACUCGAGGUGGAGGCUGGGGGGUCAGGAGUUAAAGGAGAAUAAAAGCAUCCAACUAAAGAAUCCAGAGACCACUGGACAAAUGAAAAAUCUGAAGAGAAAGGAUGAAUCAAGAGAACAUGUCCUAAGAAGAAGAGUCAGUCGGCCAAAUGGAAUCACCCACUGCAAGCUGACUGACCUCAAAUCCUGGCUCGGAGCCCCAGACUAGCACACAUGCCACCAUCUUGCCCAAGUGGCUGCCCCUUCCCACCGGACAGCCACCUAAUAAUCCCAGCUAACCGAGAUGCACAAGAAAAUAGCAUGUCUUCCCACCUAUAUGAGGUAAAUAGCAUAUUCUAGCAAAAUGAGAUGCACCAGAAAAUGAAUUAUUCCACCGAUAUGAAAUGCAAAAGAUAACAUGUAAAUUCCACCUCUAUGAGAUUCACAAUACAACAGCCUGUGAUUCUGUGGGCA